rnacentral:rRNA from 1 species
UACGUAGGGAGCAAGCGUUAUCCGGAUUUACUGGGUGUAAAGGGUGCGUAGGCGGCUUGGUAAGUCUAAAGUGAAAUUUCGGGGCUCAACCCCGGAGCUGCUUUGGAAACUGCCGAGCUAGAGUGUGGGAGAGGAAAGCGGAAUUCCAGGUGUAGCGGUGAAAUGCGUAGAUAUCUGGAGGAACACCAGUGGCGAAAGCGGCUUUCUGGAGCAUAACUGACGCUGAGGCUCGAAAGCGUGGGGAGCGAACGGGAUUAGAUACCCUGGUAGUCCCUGGA